rnacentral:tRNA from 4 species
AGGGGCGUGGCUCAAUUGGUAGAGCAUCGGUCUCCAAAACCGAAGGUUGCAGGUUCGAGUCCUGUCGCCCCUGC